UACGUAGGGUGCAAGCGUUGUCCGGAAUUAUUGGGCGUAAAGAGCUCGUAGGCGGUCUGUCGCGUCUGCUGUGAAAACUCGGGGCUUAACCCCGGGCCUGCAGUGGGUACGGGCAGACUAGAGUGCGGUAGGGGAGACUGGAAUUCCUGGUGUAGCGGUGAAAUGCGCAGAUAUCAGGAGGAACACCGGUGGCGAAGGCGGGUCUCUGGGCCGGUACUGACGCUGAGACGCGAAAGCGUGGGGAGCGAACAGG
rnacentral:rRNA from 1 species